rnacentral:rRNA from 1 species
CCUACGGGAGGCAGCAGUGGGGAAUAUUGGUCAAUGGACGAGAGUCUGAACAAGCAAAGUAGCGUGAAGGAGGACUGCCCGAUGGGUUGUAAACUUCUGUUAUAAAGGAAUAAAACGAGGCAGGUGUGCCUUUUUGCAUGUACUUUAUGAAUAAGGAUCGGCUAACUCCGUGCCAGCAGCCGCGGUAAUACGGAGGAUCCGAGCGUUAUCCGGAUUUAUUGGGUUUAAAGGGAGCGUAGGUGGGUUGUUAAGUCAGUUGUGAAAGUUUGCGGCUACACCGUAAAAUUGCAAUUGAUACUGGCAGUCUUUAGUACAGUUGCGGUAAGCGGAAUUCGUGGUGUAGCGGU